rnacentral:rRNA from 1 species
GAUGAACGCUGACAGCAUGCUUAACACAUGCAAGUCAACUGUGGCGGACGGGUGAGUAACGCGUAAAGAACUUUCCUCCCGGAUAGGGACACCAUUUGGAAACGAAUGCUAACACCUGAUACUGUGAGAGAGCUUUGCUUCCCAUUAUCUAGUUGGAGAGGUAACGGCUCACCAAGGCGAUGAUGGGUAGCCGGCCUGAGAGGGUGAUCGGCCACAAGGGGACUGAGACACGGACCUUACUCCUACGGGCGGCAGCAGUGGGGAAUAUUGGACAAUGGACCAAAGUCUGAUCCAGCAAUUCUGUGUGCACGAUGAAGUUUUCGGAAUGUAAAGUGCUUUCAGUUGGGAAGCGGUACCAACAGAAGAAGUGACGGCUAAAUACGUGCCAGCCGCCGCGGUAAUUC